rnacentral:rRNA from 1 species
UUGGCCUUGACAUAUUAAGAACUUUCCAGAGAUGGAUUGGUGCCUUCGGGAACUUAGAUACAGGUGCUGCAUGGCUGUCGUCAGCUCGUGUCGUGAGAUGUUGGGUUAAGUCCGCAACGAGCGCAACCCUUUUCCUUAUUUGCCAGCGGGUAAUGCCGGGAACUUUAAGGAUACUGCCAGUGACAAACUGGAGGAAGGCGGGGACGACGUCAAGUCAUCAUGGCCCUUACGGCCAGGGCUACACACGUGCUACAAUGGUCGGUACAAAGGGUUGCUACCUCGCGAGAGGAUGCUAAUCUCAAAAAAGCCGAUCGUAGUCCGGAUCGCAGUCUGCAACUCGACUGCGUGAAGUCGGAAUCGCUAGUAAUCGCGGAUCAGAAUGCCGCGGUGAAUACGUUCCCGGGCCUUGUACACACCGCCCGUCACACCAUGGGAGUUUGUUGCACCAGAAGUAGGUAGUCUAACCGCAAGGAGGACGCUUACCACGGUGUGGCCGAUGACUGGGGUGAAGUCGUAACAAGGUAGGCGUAGAUGA